UUUUUUUUUGAAAAAUGUAAUUUUAUUAGGUAAUAUGAGCCAAAAACGAAGGCAAAACUACGCCCUCAUUACAAUCGAAACCAUAGUUCUUCGCAAUAGCGUGAGCAAGCAAGUUACCCGAUCGCUUUACAAAAACGAAAUUACAUAAAGUAAACUCCCUAGCUAAAGUUAAGCAUUCCCUCAAGCAGAGCACCAAAUGAAGCUUCAGAUGAUUUAUUUUCCCAGAGAGCAGUAACAACCUGUAAAUUAUCCCCUUCCAGCAUGAUAGAUGAACACCUGUUCGUCGGAGCUGAUGUAAUUGCAUAUAAUGCCGCAUGGGCCUCUCCGUCCACCACUUUCGGACGUCCAUGGGCCUUUUUAGCACUCCACCACACACACGA
rnacentral:lncRNA from 1 species